GCGGAUGUAGUUCAAUGGCAGAACUUCAGCUUCCCAAGCUGAUAACGCGGGUUCGAUCCCCGUCAUCCGCUC
rnacentral:tRNA from 1 species